rnacentral:rRNA from 1 species
UUCCGGUUGAUCCUGCCGGACCCCACUGCUAUCGGGAUGGGACUAAGACAUGCUAGUCGAGCGUCUCUAAGCUAUGGAAGAGACGCGGCACACAGCUCAGUAACACGUGGCUAACCUGCCCUUGGGACAAGGACAACUCCGGGAAACUGGGGCUAAUCCCUGAUAGGUGAGAACUCCUGGAAUGGAUUCUCGCUGAAAGGACGUUUAGACCAUGCUUCUAGGCGUCGCCCAAGGAGGGGGCCGCGACCGAUCAGGUUGUUGGUGAGGUAACGGCUCACCAAGCCUUUGACCGGUACGGGCCGUGAGAGCGGUAGCCCGGAGAUGGGCACUGAGACAGGGGCCCAGGCCCUACGGGGCGCAGCAGGCGCGAAACCUCCACAAUGCACGCAAGUGCGAUGGGGCUAGCUCGAGUGCCGCCUGAAGAAGGCGGCUUUUCCACUGUGUAAUGAGCCGUGGGAAUAAGAGGGGGGCAAGACUGGUGUCAGCCGCCGCGGUAACACCAGCCCCUCGAGUGGUGGGGACGUUUAUUUGGCCUAAAGCGUUCGUAGCCGGCUCGGUAAGUCCUUCGUUAAAUCCAGCGUCCCAAGCGCUGGGCUGCGAGGGAGACUGCCAAGCUAGAGGGUGGGAGAAGUUAGCGGUAUUCCUGGGGUAGGGGCGAAAUCCUUUGAUCCCAGGAGGACCACCAGUGGCGAAGGCUGCUGACUAGAACACGCCUGACGGUGAGGGACGAAAGCUGGGGGAGCGAAUCGGAUUAGAUACCCGAGUAGUCCCAGCCGUAAACGAUGCAGGCUAGGUGUUGGAGCGGCCACGAGCCGCUUCAGUGCCACAGGGAAAGCCAUUAAGGCCUGCCGCCUGGGGAGUACGGCCGCAAGGCUGAAACUUAAAGGAAUUGGGCGGGGGAGCACCACCAGGCGUGAGCCUGCCGUUUAAUUGGAGUCAACGCCGGA